rnacentral:rRNA from 1 species
ACGAAGGGGGCGAGCGUUGUUCGGAUUUACUGGGCGUAAAGGGCGCGCAGGCGGCGGAUCAAGUCAGGCGUGAAAGCCCCGGGCUCAACCUGGGAACAGCGCUUGGGACUGGUUUGCUAGAGAUCGGGAGAGGAGAGUGGAAUUCCCAGUGUAGAGGUGAAAUUCGUAGAUAUUGGGAAGAACACCGGUGGCGAAGGCGGCUCUCUGGACCGAUACUGACGCUGAGGCGCGAAAGCGUGGGGAGCAAACAGGAUUAGAUACCCUGGUAGUCCACGCUGUAAACGAUGUGUGCUAGACGUUGGGGAGCCUAGCUCUUCGGUGUCGCAGCUAACGCGGUAAGCACACCGCCUGGGGAGUACGGCCGCAAGGUUA